rnacentral:ncRNA from 1 species
GAUUUAUAAAGAAGCGGCGAGAGAUCAGGCUCGAAAACCCGCUGGCAACCCUCCAAAGUGGAGAAGGUGCCAAUUCCUGUCCCGGAAAAAGUAUACCCGGGGGAUAUAAAUU